AGUCGAGGGGCAGCGGGUAGAUGAGCUUGCUCAUUUAUGCCGGCGACCGGCGCACGGGUGAGUAACACGUAUGCAACCUGCCCGUCUCAGGGGGAUAAUCGUCGGAAACGGCGUCUAAUACCCCGUAUGAAGCCGGACGGCAUCGUCUGGUUUUGAAAGAAUAUCGGAGACGGAUGGGCAUGCGGCGCAUUAGCUAGUUGGCGGGGUAACGGCCCACCAAGGCGACGAUGCGUAGGGGUUCUGAGAGGAAGGUCCCCCACACUGGUACUGAGACACGGACCAGACUCCUACGGGAGGCAGCAGUGAGGAAUAUUGGUCAAUGGGCGAGAGCCUGAACCAGCCAAGUCGCGUGAGGGAGUACUGCCCUAUGGGUUGUAAACCUCUUUUGUCGGGGAGCAAAAGCCGGACGUGUCCGGCUGUGAGAGUACCCGAAGAAAAAGCAUCGGCUAACUCCGUGCCAGCAGCCGCGGUAAUACGGAGGAUGCGAGCGUUAUCCGGAUUUAUUGGGUUUAAAGGGUGCGCAGGCGGAUUUUUAAGUCAGCGGUCAAAUCGUGGGGCUCAACCCCAUCCAGCCGUUGAAACUGGGGAUCUAGAGUGUGCGAGAGGUAUGCGGAAUGCGUGGUGUAGCGGUGAAAUGCAUAGAUAUCACGCAGAACCCCGAUUGCGAAGGCAGCAUACCGGUGCACAACUGACGCUCAGGCACGAAAGCGUGGGUAUCGAACAGGAUUAGAUACCCUGGUAGUCCACGCAGUAAACGAUGAAUGCUACCUGUUUGGCCAGAUUGAAGGCUGAGCGGGACA
rnacentral:rRNA from 1 species